GGAUGUGCCCAGAUGGGAUUAGCUAGUAGGUGGGGUAACGGCUCACCUAGGCGACGAUCCCUAGCUGGUCUGAGAGGAUGACCAGCCACACUGGAACUGAGACACGGUCCAGACUCCUACGGGAGGCAGCAGUGGGGAAUAUUGCACAAUGGGCGCAAGCCUGAUGCAGCCAUGCCGCGUGUAUGAAGAAGGCCUUCGGGUUGUAAAGUACUUUCAGCGGGGAGGAAGGGAGUAAAGUUAAUACCUUUGCUCAUUGACGUUACCCGCAGAAGAAGCACCGGCUAACUCCGUGCCAGCAGCCGCGGUAAUACGGAGGGUGCAAGCGUUAAUCGGAAUUACUGGGCGUAAAGCGCACGCAGGCGGUUUGUUAAGUCAGAUGUGAAAUCCCCGGGCUCAACCUGGGAACUGCAUCUGAUACUGGCAAGCUUGAGUCUCGUAGAGGGGGGUAGAAUUCCAGGUGUAGCGGUGAAAUGCGUAGAGAUCUGGAGGAAUACCGGUGGCGAAGGCGGCCCCCUGGACGAAGACUGACGCUCAGGUGCGAAAGCGUGGGGAGCAAACAGGAUU
rnacentral:rRNA from 1 species